GACGAACGCUGGCGGCGUGCCUAAAACAUGCAAGUCGAACGGUGUAAGCAAUUACACAGUGGCGAACGGCGGAGUAAUACAUAAGCAACGUGCCCCGAAGACUGGGAUAGCCAGCCGAAAGGCUGAGUAAUACCGGAUGUGGCCCUCUUUUGGCAUCUUAAGAGGAUUAAAUGGUUUUUCGCUUCGGGAGCGGCUUAUGGCCUAUCAGGUAGUUGGUGAGGUAACGGCUCACCAAGCCGACGACGGGCAGCGGGUCUGAGAGGAUGAUCAGCCACACUGGGACUGAGACACGGCCCAGACUCCUACGGGAGGCAGCAGUGGGGAAUAUUGGACAAUGGGCGCAAGCCUGAUCCAGCAAUGCCGCGUGAGUGAGGAAGGCCUUAGGGUUGUAAAGCUCUUUCACCCGCGACGAUGAUGACGGUAGCGGGGAAGAAGAAGCCCCGGCUAACUUCGUGCCAGCAGCCGACCGUAAAACUAAGACUGCCAAGGCAC
rnacentral:rRNA from 1 species